UGGGGAAUAUUGCACAAUGGGGGAAACCCUGAUGCAGCAACGCCGCGUGCGGGAUGACGGCCUUCGGGUUGUAAACCGCUUUCAGCCAUGACGAAGCUUUUGUGACGGUAGUGGCAGAAGAAGCACCGGCUAACUACGUGCCAGCAGCCGCGGUGAUACGUAGGGUGCGAGCGUUGUCCGGAAUUAUUGGGCGUAAAGAGCUUGUAGGCGGUUUGUCGCGUCGAAAGUGUAAACUCAGUGCUUAACGCUGAGCGUGCUUUCGAUACGGGAUGACUAGAGGUAGGUAGGGGAGAAUGGACUUCCCGGUGUAGCGGUGGAAUGCGCAGAGAUCGGGAGGAACACCAGUGGCGAAGGCGGUUCUCUGGACCUUUCCUGACGCUGCGAAGCGAAAGCGUGGGUAGCAAACAGG
rnacentral:rRNA from 1 species